GAGGAAGAAGCAGCAGUCUUCAUUCCUAUACCUCCCUUUUGAAGCUUGAGGAAUAGAGGACUCCUUUUUAAACACAGAGGAAAUGGGCGAAGAUGGGAAGAAAACAGAUCCCUUCUCUGUCAUCGUGCUCAGCUUCAGUAAAUCAGGAUUUUAUUUUAGAGAAGAAAUGGUAACUGGCAAAACAAAAUGCUUGUCUGGGAAUGUUGAGUUAUGUCUAAGCAAGGAGUUGAAAAAUACCUAAUGAAUCCUAAACUAUUAACAAUGACCUUAAAAAAAAAAAAAAAAAAAACUAAUAUGAAACAUGGGAAGAACUCGACCAGAUUUUUUGCGCAUUUUCACAAGCUCAGGAUCAAAAUAAAGGAAAGGAGGUGAGCAAGAAGGAAGCCUUUUCCCUAAUUCCAGAAGCCUCCAAGGGACAUUUCGUGCAUGAUCCUAUCAUUGUACUUAACAGACCACAUUAUAAUUUUUGUUUGUGUAUCACUUCUCAUCAGUAUGACAGCUUCCCAAGAGCAGAGACUAUUUUAUUCAUCAUUUUCAUCUCCAGUGCCUGGCACCCUAUAUAACAGUAAUGACACUCAAUAAAAGAUUACAAAAUAAUGGAUGAA